rnacentral:lncRNA from 1 species
CCCGAAUGACUAUUACACGACAGAAGGACGAACAAAAAAUAUAUUUUCACACUCAUAUCUUUCGCACAAACUAAAUAGGAAAACUCAGUGAUUCCCGUUAUUAUUAGUUACAAUUCUAUUCACCUGUUUUCUAAUAAAAUACAUGUAACACACUCGCCACACUUGGCUAAUUUUUUAUCCUUAACCUAUAAAACGACAGACGUAUUAUAUGUCCUGAUAAACAAAUCGUUUUACGGUACUAGUGUCACAAACAUUGAUAAUUUAAAUUAAGCUUGGCCAAGUUUAGCAUGGGAAAAGACGGUUUUUCAAGGUCUUCAAUACCUUUUUUCCUUCUCUGCGCAAAACGUCAUUCUUCCAGAAAAAGAUCACACAGUUCAAUGUGGAAUUCGUAGCAGCUAUAGUACCACCCCAAAAUUCAGACAUGCUCGUAUUUUCUGACGUCGAUUUCUCAGCGAAGUUAAACGCAAUGAAGAAGAAAGCAGGAGUGUACAUCAACAUGAGACAGGCAACUGCCAACAAACAGGUAUGAAUGUUCUUUAAAUUAACAUGCAAGGUUGAUUCCUCGGGUGAUGCUGUGUUGUCGCGUCGCAUUUUUCUGGAAAUCUUAAACAAUUUGUAGUUGAGGAAGAUAAUUGGUGGAAAUAUAAUGGCGAAGAAAAUGACUAAACCCACUGGCAAGGAAAUUAGAUCCUUUAGAGAAAACGUUAUUAAGAUAAGUGGCAGAAUGUAUAAUACAGCGAGGAGUGUUAGCAGUCUGCGUCUGGUCACAGAUGUUCGAUGAAAGAUAGGAUGGUAUGCUCCCAGAUAUCGUUCAAUAGUCAUUACCAGAAGAGCGACAAUAGAAAAGCCGAUGAACAAGUUUGAGAUACGCCAGUAAAUCCUGGUCACAGUUAAUAAAUCAUGGUGCUCUUCAUUUAACGCGAAGACUAGAUGAAUAAUAAUUAAGGGAUGACUCGUUAUGACUACAAGAAAGUCGAAGCACG